GACAGUGGACUGAGACUUAGACUCUCCUGGUGUUACUGGAUGAUAUUAAACCCUGAACUGGGUCUGACGUGUGGAAUUAGAUUUUCCCACGUCUGAUGUGUGAAAUGUUCAAUAUUGCUCGGUUCCAUCCAGCUGAAACCCAGCUGUGCAAAAUGACACGGAUGUUCAUUCAAAUACAGCAGGUAAUUUCAGCAACACAUUUUAGUUGAACAGGCAGAAAAUGACAGCUGGGGUUAUUAUCCCUGGCGGGAAAUUACAACACCAGCUAGAGUAGAAAGAAGUGACAGUGAAAAAAACCCAGUGAUUAUUAGAGCAGAACACAUGUCACUGUCACCUCCUGCUUUUUAAAGGAGGGACAUUUUGUCCUAACUGUCCUUCACAGGAUAUUUAUACCCUCCAUGUGAAAGUGUCUGAUAUGAGUUUGACAGAGGCUGGGGGACGAUCAUGAAGUAAGGUUGGAUGAUGCCCCUUGACCGGUCCAGCCUGACCACCUUGUAGCUGUGCAGCUGAGCGGGAGGAGUAACAGUACCUGUACCAGGAGGCGUCUCCGUUUUGUCGUCGUCCUCCUUCUCGGUCGUUAAUGCGACCAUGAUGCUGUCGACAAACGAGUUGGAGGGGUGACGACGCUCCAGGCUGUGGACUGGUUGAAACUCUUUAUCUGUCUGUGGUUCUGGUUUCUGAAAAAUGUUACCUGUUCAUCUAGAGCAGCGUGCAGCUCGUUGGUCAGUCCUCUCAGUGUGUGAUGCAGCAGAGUGAUUUCAGUGACCGCCUGAGCCAACUUCUCUCCGAGCUCCAUCUGGCUUUCCCUGGCUCUGGACCUGGUGGUUUCCAGCUGCUCCUGUCCUCACACUGAAUGUUCCUCUCCCGGAGCCCCUGCAGGUUGGCCCUCAACAUACGCUCACUCUCAGCCAUCUGCUCCCUCGCCAGCUCGUUCUCCAUCUGCAAGAACUGACACACACAGACAACAGGAAGUUAAACCAGAACACCA